CUCGCCUGCAUGAAGUCGGAAUUGCUAGUAAUCGCGGAUCAGCAUGCCGCGGUGAAUACGUUCUCGGGCCUUGUACACACCGCCCGUCACACCAUGGGAGUCGGUAACACCCGAAGUCUGUAGCCUGACGCAAGAGGGCGCAGCCGAAGGUGGGAUUGAUGACUGGGGUGAAGUCGUAACAAGGUAGC
rnacentral:rRNA from 1 species